AACGAACGCUGGCGGCAUGCCUAACACAUGCAAGUCGAACGAGACCUUCGGGUCUAGUGGCGCACGGGCGCGUAACGCGUGGGAACCUGCCCUUAGGUUCGGAAUAACUCCCCGAAAGGGGUGCUAAUACCGGAUAAUGUCUUCGGACCAAAGAUUUAUCGCCUUUGGAUGGGCCCGCGUUGGAUUAGCUAGUUGGUAGGGUAAAAGCCUACCAAGGCGACGAUCCAUAGCUGGUCUGAGAGGAUGAUCAGCCACACUGGGACUGAGACACGGCCCAGACUCCUACGGGAGGCAGCAGUGGGGAAUAUUGGACAAUGGGCGAAAGCCUGAUCCAGCAAUGCCGCGUGAGUGAUGAAGGCCUUAGGGUUGUAAAGCUCUUUUACCCGGGAUGAUAAUGACAGUACCGGGAGAAUAAGCUCCGGCCAACUCCGUG
rnacentral:rRNA from 1 species